rnacentral:rRNA from 1 species
CAAGUCGAGCGGAUGAAGGGAGCUUGCUCCCUGAUUCAGCGGCGGACGGGUGAGUAAUGCCUAGGAAUCUGCCUGGUAGUGGGGGACAACGUCUCGAAAGGGACGCUAAUACCGCAUACGUCCUACGGGAGAAAGUGGGGGAUCUUCGGACCUCACGCUAUCAGAUGAGCCUAGGUCGGAUUAGCUAGUUGGUGAGGUAAUGGCUCACCAAGGCGACGAUCCGUAACUGGUCUGAGAGGAUGAUCAGUCACACUGGAACUGAGACACGGUCCAGACUCCUACGGGAGGCAGCAGUGGGGAAUAUUGGACAAUGGGCGAAAGCCUGAUCCAGCCAUGCCGCGUGUGUGAAGAAGGUCUUCGGAUUGUAAAGCACUUUAAGUUGGGAGGAAGGGUUGCUGAUUAAUACUCUGCAAUUUUGACGUUACCGACAGAAUAAGCACCGGCUAACUCUGUGCCAGCAGCCGCGGUAAUACAGAGGGUGCAAGCGUUAAUCGGAAUUACUGGGCGUAAAGCGCGCGUAGGUGGUUUGUUAAGUUGAAUGUGAAAUCCCCGGGCUCAACCUGGGAGCUGCAUCCAAAACUGGCAAGCUAGAGUAGGGCAGAGGGUGGUGGAAUUUCCUGUGUAGCGGUGAAAUGCGUAGAUAUAGGAAGGAACACCAGUGGCGAAGGCGACCACCUGGGCUCAUACUGACACUGAGGUGCGAAAGCGUGGGGAGCAAACAGGAUUAGAUACCCUGGUAGUCCACGCCGUAAACGAUGUCAACUAGCC